UCUCACCCUCUGCAGCCGCCGCCUCGGGGCCCUCCGCGGACAUGGUGCUCCUACUGCGGGCCAAGCGUCGCGAUGACAGGGGCCGAGGCCNNNNNNNNNNNNNCCACCUCGCCAACCCGUCCUCCGGCCGCGCGACGCCCGAGCACUUCCUCUUCCCUUCAAAGGUCGCUGCGCGCGCUCGCCUCACUUCCGCCCGAGACUGCCUCACUUCCGCCCGGGACCGCCUCACAUCUGGCCAGCGAGAGCCUUACAUUCGGCGAGGACACGCCUCACAUCCGCCCGGGGCCGCAUCUCGUACUCCCAGGGUUCCUGGGAAUUGUAGUUCGAGAGCCCCGCCGUUUCUCCCUGCCCUUUGCUUUCUGUCCCGGGGACCUUGUAGCUCCACGUCUUCAGCCUCUCUCUCUUGUCCCACGCUGGCUUUCCGUGGGCGCUCCGGGGCUCCGCGUCUCCUCCUCACCUCUCCAGUCCUCCGUCAUUGCCUAGGAGAAGCUGCCCGCCCGCGUCUCUGCGAUGCUGUCACCGCUCUGCAGUUUCACAGUGGAGCAUCCUUGGACAGCAGUUGUCAUUACCCUGUUAAUGUCACCUUUCCUGCUCGGGGUCACAUCCAUUGCAGACAGGCUGAAUGUGGAGUUUGCUUUGAUUCACAAAGAGAGGAAGAAGGCAAAUGAAGUGGACCGGAUGGUGCUGGUGGGCGACAUGAAGGGUCGUGUGGCCAUCCUUGUGGAUGACAUGGCCGACAUGUGGUACCAUCUGCUUUGCUGCCGAUAAGUACGUGGGACAGUUCAGAAAAGCAUGAAGACAUCUUGCUCUUAAGCUGUGGUAAUGACGGUGUCUUUCUUUCCUCUGUCACUAGGCUUCUUGGGCUUGCUCUUUCAAUAUCUCUAAGCAUUCCUGGUAGAUGUCCCUCCUUACCUGAAGUCCCUCCUUGCUAAUCUGGCCUCAUCUAAGAAUAUGUCUGGAAAAGACUUUAAAAACAUCUAAUCUUUAUAAUCUCAUAAAGUAUUUAAGAAACUGUGUUCUCAAAACUUCCCUCAGCCAUGUUUACCUGCAUGCUGUCAAUAUUCUAAGGUGAACAGCCUAUGAGUUGCUUUGGGGUUUUUCUUCUCAAAGGUUUUUGUUUUUUAAGAUCAGUCAUUUUCCGUUUCCCCCAGUGAUUCAGAGGCACUGUCUUAUUGUAUUUAUUGGUUAUCACCUGGCUAAUUAUAAACUGUAUUUCUAAGAGUGUUGAUGAAAAGUGUAUUUUUGGUGGAAGAUAAUGGGAAAAAGUCAUAAUGCCAGUGCAGUAGAGUGGAAAAGACGGACAUUCAACCUGGAUUUGAACCCGGAUCUUCUGUGUACCGUCAGUAGCACAUGGGCACGCGUGGGGCUCUAGCACAGACUCGCUCUGUGGUGCUCAGGGUUCUCAGCCUGCGGGCUCCGACCUGCAGUGCCCUCCCUCCAGAGCACCGGCUUUACCCUCCCUCCUGUUGUGUGCCUUGUGGUGCCCUGUGCACUUGGAGGUCCCCCGCAAAUCCUCUCGGGAUGUGGCACCGGGCCUUGUACCCCUGCCACGAGCAAAGGCAAACUUCUCCUUCCUAAUUCACCCAGUCUGUGACACUUAUCACAACCUAAACCAAUACAAGUGACCUCUUCACUUCUCUGAAACAUGCCUAGAAAGGUCAGAAGGCCACGCUAGACCCCAAGAAGACUGCAGUGUGGUGUCCACAUGGAGGGACCAGCACGAGCACACCAGUUUUGGGGUCAAUUUCACUGUAGAAGUCAAUAUUGACUUUUCUCCAAUGUUUAAUAAGUUUAGGUACAUCUAAUGAAAUAUUUUAAAAAUUAGGGUUGGGGAUGUGGGUCAGAGGUGUACCACUUGCCCGGCAUGCACAAGCGGGGAGACUGAGGCAGGAGGAUCUCAAGUUUGAGGCCAGCAAGACUCUGUCAAACCAACCAACCAACCACCCCAAAAAACAACAAAGAAUCCAAGACUGGCAAGAUCAUUAAGCCCCACCUAGACACUGCCUCUGUCUCUCUCUAUGCACUGAAUACACACACAGGGUGCAAAGGGUGCUUAGACCUUGUAAUGGAAGGGGAGAAGGUGCUAAUGCCAUUCUCACGCUGUUCUCCACUGUAGACCCAGCAAGGGCAGCUCUAGACCCCAGCACCAUGGUCAGAGCCACGACUGCAGCCCUGUUCCAAGUCCCCUCCGCACAAUCUGGGGAUCUGUAUGACUGAAAAAUUCUAAGUUCUAAGGAACAAACCCUUUUUUAAAAUCAGUCUUUUAAAAAGAAUUCUAAGAGAGGCUCUGGUUUGCCAGCCUGCAGCCUGCAUCCCCACCCCAGCACGGGCCUGAUGCAUAGCCCUGCGUAGCCUGUCCCUGAGCAGAGUCCCUUCCGCCAGACCCAGCCCGCUCAGCGGACACAACACCCAAGCUGCUGGGUCUGGUGCUCCAGGGUAUCCACUUCAUCCUGCAGAGCCGCAGGUGUGGGUCAGUGCUCCCAGAGCUCUCUGCGGCUCCCACAGUCCCUGCACAGGGCCCAGAACCACGUGUUCUUCCUCGGCUCACUGGAAAAGCCUUCCCACACUCAGUCAGAGCACCUUGCUUGCUGCCAGCAGCCUUCUGCUGCGCCCGAACUGGGAAGCAGUAGGACCUCUUCCCCUCCCGGCAGCUGCCUGACUGGCUAGCUCACCGAUUUAAUCACAUAAAUGUCUCCACUAAAAAUAAAAGCCAAGUACACUUUGUUUUUUAGUUUUUUGGCAUAUAUUUACAAUAUAAAUACUAAUUUGUUUUCAAAGUACAUAUUACUUUAACAAUUUCAGAAAAUUAUCUAGCAGGACAGCAGAUUUAAUCACAUAAAUGUCUCCACUAAAAAUAAAAGCCAAGUACACUUUGUUUUUUAGUUUUUUGGCAUAUAUUUACAAUAUAAAUACUAAUUUGUUUUCAAAGUACAUAUUACUUUAACAAUUUCAGAAAAUUAUCUAGCAUGGGACAGCAGUUUAAUGUAGCCUCUCAAGUAGUGAUUAAGGAAAAUAGAAUGUCUGAGGACGGGGAGCCUGACAGGAAUCAGAGUGGCAAGACAGUCGGUCAGAGCUCGUGUCUAGCCCGCGCCCCGCAUGCCAUAGAAAAAGGAUGCAUGCUUGCAUAGUGCACUAGCCGCAGAGAAGCUCAACAGUUCAUUGUCAUUCUCAAGUUUAAAUGAAUAGCAUUUAAAACACAUCACACAAAAUUAAACACUUGUGCAUAUAUUUCAGAUUCCAACAUUAAUGUCAAAAAUACAUAGUAUGAUUUCACAUAAGAUUUGUGCUACAUUAGAACACUACAGACAAACAUCACUUGAGUAUUAAGGAAAACAUUAAAUAUUAAAUAACAAAUGAAACGUGUAAACACUAACUACAGGGCCUUUGCUAUUGCAACGUGUCCAGCGAAGUGGUUUCCACAGUACGAAGGGGCUGGGAUGAGAGCGCUUUCCACUUUCCAUCUAUGCGGGUUCGGGGCCUCCUCGCCCGCCGGGAGCCUUCAGUGAAACUGGUCCAGGGUGGUGGGAGAGGAGCCACUCUCCUGACUGCCCUUUGGUGCCCGCCACUCUAUGGGAAUCUACCUCAAACCCGGGCACUGAGCAAACACUCCAGUGUGUUACUGCUGGUCAGCAUCGUGGUGAGAACUGAGGGUUUGUUGGCGACUCCGUGUAUGAUUUGAGUUCAUAUGCAGCACCACUAUCGACUUCCAUGGACUUUCUGGAGAACAGGAGUCGCACGUCCCUGUGGAGGUAGAUCUUUCCAGAUCUGGAGCUCUGGAACCUGCGUGGAGGGAGAGAGACGGCACCUCAGGGAAGGAGUCUAAACAACCAACUUGGGUAGUUGCACUUGGAAAGGUAAUCCACACUAAUACAACAACAACAAGAAUCAAUCUUGCUACAAUACCAAACACACUGGCAUGAUGCUGAAGAUCUUAAACUGUCAAAGCACAUUUCCGAUGUAAAUGGCCCUCCCUUGCUCUUCCCUAAAACCCUGCCUCAUCCCUCCACCCGGCUGCCUUUCCUCCUGACCCUGAGGCGCAUGGCUUUCCUCUCUGGCAUCGGCUGGGUUUCCAUCAGCCUGUCACACUGCCUGGGAUCGGCAGCCCCAGCAUUUUCUAGACACACAGACUGACCUGUUUAGCAAGUCAGCCACCUAUAAUUUGGGGUAGAUUAAAAUGGUCUCCACGCUUGGAAGUCACUACAGGAAAUUUAGCUUUGAAGACAGUCACCGGUAAAAGAACUGUGGUUGUCAGCAAUGACCAGCUCAGUCACUCCUAACCAGCACCGAGAGUGGGGAGGAGUUGGCAGUGAGAGGAGAAAAGCCCUCAGAAACGUCCGAGAUGCUCAGCUGCCCUGCUCCGUGGUGGCCACUCCCAAGCUGAAGGAGGGCGUGCUCGGCCGUGCGCAGGGCAAUGUUUCUCCGAUGCAGGCCUCCACACAGCAUGGAGAGCAUCAGGCCUCUGGGAGGACUGAAUUUCACUCUAGGGGAUGCUGGUUCCCUACAGCUACAGCCACUCAGCUUCAAGGGUGCUUGAGGGACUGUCACCCGGCCUGCAGGAGCCCUGUGGCAACACACACAAGCAAACGAAGGAAGCAGGCUUGGAGAGGACGGGGUCAGAUGAGGCUGAGUAGUCUCUUAACAAGCUCAAAGUCUGUCAGGUAGGUUUUCCCGUGUGACACUCCUUUAGGGCGGCAGGCAGCAGCAAGCUGGGUUUCAAGGCGCGAGGUUGGGGUGGCAUCUCUGGGUAAGGACCGCCAGGCAGAUGAGAGACCACGUGGGGUUUGGGGAAACCUCGAACUUAAUGAACGUUCAUUUCCCAGGAUCACCACACUGGGCAGAUGCACAGUGAGGCGCUGCUGGCCGUCGCCGGUGACAGGGCAGAAGCUCUCUGCUUGCGCUGGGUGACCAGGCUCCCUGAGGCACGGAGCCAGUCUCAGAGCAUGUCCUGAGGUAACUGAAACUGCCCACGGCAGGACCCAGAGCACUGCCAGACAGGGCGGUGGGAAGGCCCUGCUCUGCUCCCCACCCCAGAGCUUCGCUCAGAUGCAGGCCGAGCCUCACCUGAGACUCCAGCAGCCUGGGCCAGAGCAAGCGGGCAGUUCUCACGACCUACAGCUCUGAGUGGGGAGUGGGGUGGCAGGAAAAGGCAUUCUGAUGGAAUCACCAGCUAGUUUGCCAGUGCUCUAACAAGUGUGUCUCACAGCAUUGGAUGUAAUAGGAUCUGCUUCUGACUGAAAUACCUGAGGCGGCUGU
rnacentral:lncRNA from 1 species